AACGCUGGCGGCGCGCUUAACACAUGCAAGUCGAGCGAGAACCGGGGCUUCGGCCCCGGGGACAGCGGCGAACGGGUGAGUAACACGUGGGUAAUCUGCCCUCGGUUCCGGGAUAGCCCGGGGAAACUCGGAUUAAUACCGGAUAGCCUCACGAGCCUUCGGGCGCGUGAGAAAAGGUAGCUUCGGCCUCUGACCGAGGAUGAGCCCGCGGCGGAUUAGCUUGUUGGCGGGGUAACGGCCCACCAAGGCGACGAUCCGUAGCUGGUCUGAGAGGACGAUCAGCCACACUGGGACGGAGACACGGCCCAGACUCCUACGGGAGGCAGCAGUGGGGAAUCUUGCGCAAUGGGCGAAAGCCUGACGCAGCGACGCCGCGUGAGGGAAGAAGGCCCUAGGGUUGUAAACCUCUUUCAGGUGGGACGAAGCCACUCGGGUGAAUAGCCCAGAGGGUGACGGUACCUCCAGAAGAAGCCCCGGCUAACUACGUGCCAGCAGCCGCAGUAAUAC
rnacentral:rRNA from 1 species